UAGGGCACGUACAUAGCGGAGCCUUAGACCGCUAAAGUGAAGCGCCUUGCCAAGAAGCGACCUGUGGUGGGGUUGCGUUGCGUUCAAAAGCAUUUGCCGUCAGGGAGCNGACCCUGNUAAAAAAGUGUAUGCGAUUGGAUGUCGGAGCUCGCGGACGCGACCCGCGAAAAAAAGCAUAGUUGCCGGUGUGUUCGCAACUGCAACGAGGUUCGAGAAAACAAAUUAGGGCAAAAGCAGUCGGUGCACCACCACCGGCUGUUUUUG
rnacentral:sRNA from 12 species